GACGAACGCUGGCGGCGUGCUUAACACAUGCAAGUCGAGCGGAGCGGCGAACGGGUGAGUAACUCGUGAGUAACUGCCCCCCUCUCUGUGAUGACAGUUGACAACUGCUGCUAAUACCGGAUAGUGGGGGAUGACUCGCGUCCUAUCGGAUUGUUGGUUGGGUAGUGGCCGACCAAGGCGACGAGGGGUCGCCGGCCUGAGAGGGCGAACGGCCACAUGGGGCUGAGAUACGGACCAAACUCCAACGGGGGGCAGCAGGGGGGAAUAUGGCACAAUCGGGGAAAGCGUGAGGCAGAAACGCGCGGGCGGAAUGACGGCCUUGGGGUUGUAAACCGCUUUCAGCCAUGAAGCGGUAGUGGCAGAAGAAGCACCGGCUAACUACGUGCCAGCAGCCGCGGUAAUUC
rnacentral:rRNA from 1 species